AUCAUCUUGGUGGAUUUCCUCCCAGUUACCAAACACUUCUAAUGAGCUGGCUUCUUUCAAAACCAAAAACUGUUUUCUAAAGCUGUUUGACGGUUCUGAGUAGAUAGAGCUUUGGGUCUUGAAGAGCAAUUGGUAUUCAUUUAUUUUGUUUUUCAAAAUCCGGGAAGAAUCAUCCUUUGAUAUGCAGCCAGAGCAACAGGUAAAAGAAGGAAACGUCAGGUCGCCCGACUGAAGCCUGAUAGACCUUUGUCAGCAUUUAAAUGCCCCCUGGGCAGUUUGCCUUCUAAAAUGGAGAUGGCCCAGCUCCACUAUUGAAUCUGACUUCCUUCUUCCUAAUCCUCACUGAAGACCCUCACCUGAGAUCCCGUAUUCAUUCCAAACUGGCUUUCGGAUCUAACCACGCAGCCUCUAAUCCUCAGGAGAAAAGAAUUUGUAAACCCAGGCUGAGUUCAUCCCCAGGACCCCAGUCUUACAAUCUGCAGAUCUGUGCAUUGUCCCCCCCAAACCCAGAUGACCCCAUGGCACUUGGGGAACAUGCUUGACCCAGCCUUACAGCCCUCCGGGUGAUGCAGCGUCGUGGACGACCACAGCCAUGCCCACUAAGCGCUCUGGAGCCAGGGGUGAUAGUCUUUGUGGAUCUGGAUCCCAGGGGAUGUCACUGAACCCUCCAAGUGCCAGGACUUACCUCAGGGGGGUUAGAAGUGGACACAGAGAGACAAAUAGAAUGGGGAGUGAUGUGAGCUGGAAUCACAGCCCCACUGGGAUGGGGGAACAUCUGAAAAUAAAAUUAACUUCUUAACAUCUUUUUUAAAAGGAUUUCAGAACAUCAUUUCACCAGACAGUACAUAUCAUUCCAUCAUAACAACCUUUAGAUUAUUGAGGAUUGAUGUCUUUCAAAAACGAGAAAUUGAGGUUUGGUGAGGUCCUAGUAAUGUUAUACUAAACUUGCCAAUGAAUACUGCUAAGAGUUUACAGAGCUGGAUGAGCACCGAUUGCCAGGUAGAAUGCAGAAUGUAGGAAGGUUUUGUGAAACUAGGCUUUGGAUUGGGGAUGCAAGAAUUUGCAGUUUCCAUAUGUUAAUUGGAAAUUUUAAAAAUUUCAAAGUAGCCCCAUAGAGAUGGAAAUAGACAAGAAGGAAAAAUGUAGUUCCAAAGGGACCGUUUUUCAAAUAAUUGCAUUUAAAGGGCUGUCAUCUGAGAGAAGGCUUAAAUUUAUGGUUUGACUUCCAACCAAAAGGAGAUAUUCCAGUGAAAGAAACUGUAGUUCAUCUUUGAGCACUCCACUAUGGAGAGAUCUUUCAUAAAGCAUUUCCACACUGAGAGGUAGUUUAGAGAAAUAACUCUUCCUUCACAGUGUUCACUGAGCCAUUCUGUGGAGCAAUGUUCAGAACAACUGCAGAGGUAUAACUUCUUUUUGGCCACACCAGAGUCAUGCAGAAGUUCCCAGGCCGGGGAUUGAAUCUGUGCCAUAGCAGUGACAAUGUCAGAUCCUUAACCCACUGAGCCACCAGGAGACUCCAUCUACAGAGGUAUAAUUAUAAUCCAUGAUGCUGACCCCCCACAAGGAGGAAAAGGAGAUGCCACAUUUGUGCCAUUGGGCAGUGUAUCCCAAACCUGAACUCUGCUGCCUUUUCCUAGGGUACCCAGAGUGAUUCGCCAUUUGGCUAUUGAAACCUUUCUCCUUAUGGAGAAAAAAAGAGGCAAAGAUCCCUCUUGGCCAACAGGAAGAAAGUAAAUGUGAAGGCAGCUGUUGGAAAGACCCAGCCUUACCUUAUGAUGCAACAUAGAGCAAUUGCAUCCAAAAAAUUCCAGAGCUUUGUCACAUGGCUAAAAUUGGAGAUGCUUUUUCAAGAAGUUAUCUGGUCUAGCUUUUCCAAGGCAAUGAGAUUCCACAGCUGUCAUUCAGUUUUCCUUUCUGUCUAACUCCUCAGCAGAAUCUUGUUGAAUAUCUGGGCUCCGUAGAUCUUCACCAAUUCAUAAACCUAGCAAAAUUGAUAGAACAGCGACUUCACACCACACCAGGUGCUGUUCUAUCCUUGGAGAUAGAAUAGUGAGUAAAAAAAGACUGGGCCUCAGGAGAAGUAUAAUCAAGCAUUAAUCAAACAAUCACACGAAUGAAGAUGUCACUAAGGAUGUGUUAAAGUUCUUUUAGGAGAACCCAUAGGAUGCUAUGAACAUACAUUUGACAAGCCUGACCAAACCUAAGAUAGACAGCCUGGGGGGCAAGGUUUCUGAGGUUGGGGUGGAGGUGCGGCAGCUAGUAACCUUCACUUGAGCAAGAGAAGAAUCCACUAAGGAGGUGAGGAGGCUGGGGAGUAUGUGGUAGUGACGAGAAGGGGCUGGAUUGGAGAAUUAUUAGACGGUCUAUUAUUAGGCUGUCUGAAAUCAUGACUGAUGCUUGGCAGUGUGCAGUGCAGAAAGGCAGGGUAUUAAGACUCCCUAUUUUCUGGUUAUGCAAUUGGGUGAGUGGUGUUGGUAUGUCCUGGGAUGGGAAACUCUGACUAAAUGUGGGGAAGAUCAUGGAUUUGAUUUGGAUGAGUUGGUUGGAGGUAGCUUUGAGAUACGUGUUCUAAUGGAGAUGCAAAUUCCUUGUCGGAUACUUGUGUGAUGAGAAUUUUUGACGUAUGAAUUAAAUAGUGCUAUUUUAGACUCUUCAAAAUAGCUCAAGUGAUUCGAUAAAGAGAACCUCAGUGCAAUCUCUUCCCUAAACUAACAAGCAAAUAGCAUGGAAUAAGAGUUUGAAAAGUGUUGAGAAAUCAGGCCUGUUUCUGCAACUACAAUUAUUCACUCACUCAUAUACAUUCAUUCAAAUAUUAUAAAUACAUAUUGUUAUCUAAUACAUAUUAUACAGUUGGCCUGCAAAAGCCAUCCUAAACUUUGGGUGACUUAUGUGAGUAUGUGUGUGUGUGUCUGUGUCUGUGUUUCUGUGUCUAAUUCUACUCACUAAAACAUGUACUCACAAAGCAUCCUGAAAUAAAGUAUAUUUAACAUGAAUAUUUAAAUAAAUAUGUGCAAAAGUCAGAAACCAGGGUAUUUCACUUAAUAGAAAGAAUCAAUUGCAGAGCUUCUGCUACAUCUGCUUGAAUCUGGUCUUGUAGCUUAGAAGUAAAGAUAGCAUUUAUGAACCCUGGGUUGUUCCAAAUUGCAUUCCUCAGGGGGCAACAUCAAAACAGCCCCCCUCAACACCGCACGGGGACAACCGUUCAUCUAACGAAACUUGAGUGGUUUUCAUGGGUGAUGGGUUGACAUAUCACCCUUGACACAUGGCACUUGGGGAACAUGCUUGACCCAGCCUUACAGCCCUCCAGGUGAUGCAGGGUCGUGGACAGCCACAGCCAUGCCCACUAAGCCCUCUGGAACCAGGGGUGAUAGUCUUUGUGGAUCUGGAUCCCAGGGGCUCAGAAAGUGGACUAAAUAUGAGUCUUGAGCAAAAGUGUAAAGUACACAUUGCUCACUGGUAACAUGUGGAGGAGCUGGUUGUGGUUUUUAAUGUGGCCUUUGUGGAGGAGGGUGGGAAAAGCAUCAGAAAAGGUUAACUGGGCCUGUGUCCUGUGAAGGAAACUGUGCUUUAAGACUUAGAACUGUUUCUACCUUUGACCAGGGCCUUUCAGCUUAACACCGAAACAUACUGAAAAGUAGAGCGGCAGAUGGACUUUUUCCUUGGCAGAAUGGCUCCAAAUUCUAGGCUUUUUGAUUUUUUAGCAUUUUUCAUUCGAUACAAGUAUUUUAAUUCAAUACUUUAUGUAUACAUGGCUUUGAACCUUUAACCCCCAGGAUGCAUGUGACACAAUCAUCAUAAUCCUUUGGCGGUAUCUACAUUUGGGGGAGAAAUUCACUUGUUACACAAAUAAACGUUCUGAUGUCUGACUCUUCACAGCCUCUUCCCUUGCAUGGCCCCUGGGCAUCCAGGGCCUGGCACCAGCAGUCAACAGAUGCAGGACGUGGUGUGAGGACCAGGAAGGGAGUGGGGCGCAGCCACAGAACGAAGAGGCUGGCAAGGCUGGAAGAUUGAUUUCCACAGAAAAGACCACAGAACCACUUCUCAGGGGCAUGGUCUGAAGAUCCAGCAGAACUUUGAGGGAGAGAGACAGAGGUGGGAGGGGCCUCCGGAAACACCUCCGGAGAACUUUUAAACUUUUGCUGUAAGAGUUGGGGAGCAAAUUUCUUACUUUGUUACCUCUUACAAAGAAUUCAGGAAACAGGUUUUAUUAAAGACUCUGGAAACUGGUGCUCAUGUUUCUUUUGAGGAAGCAGAUUAGAGAGGGGAAAAAAGACCUAGGGUCCUUUGGGGUGCACCUUGUUCUCAGAGCAAAGCGCAGUUUAAAUAAAGGCAUGGGUAUCACUGAUCGAAAAUGAAGAAAUGGGAGUUUCCUUGUGGCACAGUGAGUUAAGGAUUCAGCACUGUCACUGCAGUAGUUCAGGUUGCUGCUGUGCUGUGGGUUUGGUCUCUGGCUUGGGAACUUCCACAUGCUGUGGACAUGGCCAAUAAAAAAGUAUAGCAAGCGUUCAUUCUUUUUUUUUUUUUUUUUCUAACUCUCUCUCUUUUUGCAGAGGCUAUGCCCGAGACAUAAAGACAUGCCCAAGCCAGGGAUCAAACCUGUGCCACAACAGCGACCUGAGGCACAACAAUGAAAACUCCAGAUCCUUAACUGCUAUGCCACUAGGAAACACUAGUGUUGGCUAUAUUUAUUGUUAGCAAUCAUUUGCUUGGGAAACAUAACUGAUGAUAAUGAGCCAGGAAGUCCUAAUAUAGUACUGUAAGAAGUUCCAGGUUUCCCUAGCUUUUUUUAAAUUAGGACUUAAUACUCAGGAUUUAAUUUUAAUGUUCUUACUUUAUCAUCAAGUGGUAUUUAUUAUAUCACUUUAUCCCAUGGUGAGCAAAUCAUGUCUUCAGCCUUAGGAAACCAUAGUCAUAAUUGGGCAGCAGAGACUAACCCUCGGGAUGUAUGUCAUUUAUGCAGCACUAAUGGAUAGAAGGAAGGAAAGAAGGAGAGAGAGAGAAAGAAAGAAGGAAAUAAAAGGAGAGGAAGGAAGAAACCAGACAGUGAGAUUUUCACAGGUAAAAAUUACAAACACUUCCUUGCUCUUGGCUCCCGGUUUUCUCUGAGCACCACUGUGUGCCAGGCACAGUCCAGGUAGCUAAGAUGCAGCAGCAAACAAAGCAGAGGAUAAGUUCAGCUUUCAUGGAGCUCCCAUCCUUUUGAAGGUUGAAUAUUUUUAAAAAUGAAUACAAAAUAGCACUAGGAAA
rnacentral:lncRNA from 1 species